AUUGAACGCUGGCGGCAGGCCUAACACAUGCAAGUCGAGCGGGGUUUUCGGACCUAGCGGCGGACGGGUGAGUAAUGCGUAGGAAGCUACCCGAUAGAGGGGGAUACCAGUUGGAAACGACUGUUAAUACCGCAUAAUGUCUACGGACCAAGGUGUGGGACCUUCGGGCCACAUGCUAUCGGAUGCGCCUACGUGGGAUUAGCUAGUUGGCGGGGUAAUGGCUCACCAAGGCGACGCUCCCUAGCUGGUUUGAGAGGCUGAUCAGCCACACUGGAACUGCGACACGGUCCAGACUCCUACGGGAGGCAGCAGUGGGGAAUAUUGGACAGUGGGCGAAAGCCUGAUCCAGCCAUGCCGCGUGUGUGAAGAAGGCCUUCGGGUUGGAAAGCACUUUCAGUAGGGAGGAAGAGUUGAGUGUUAAUAGUACUCAGCUUUGACGUUACCUACAGAAGAAGCACCGGCUAACUCUGUGCCAGCAGCCGCCGUAAGAC
rnacentral:rRNA from 1 species